UAGGGAAUAUUAGUAAUGGGCGAAAGCCUGAACUAGCAACGCCGCGUGCGAAGAAGGCCUUCGGGUUGUAAAGCACUUUUUGAGAGGAUGAGGAAGGACGGUACUCUCAGAAUAAGUCUCGGCUAACUACGUGCCAGCAGCCGCGGUAACACGUAGGAGGCAAACGUUAUCCGGAUUUACUGGGCGUAAAGCGCGUGUAGGUGGUUUGGUAAGUAGGGCGUGAAAGCUCCUGGCUCAACUGGGAGAGGCCGUUCUAAACUGCCGAACUAGAGGAUGGUAGAGGGAGGUGGAAUUCCGGGUGUAGCGGUGGAAUGCGCAGAUAUCCGGAGGAACACCAGUGGCGAAAGCGGCCUCCUGGACCAUUCCUGACACUCAGACGCGAAAGCUAGGGUAGCAAACGG
rnacentral:rRNA from 1 species